rnacentral:piRNA from 1 species
UCUUGAUGCUAGUGAUGCGUGUGA